rnacentral:misc_RNA from 1 species
UACGUAGGGUGCAAGCGUUACUCGGAAUUACUGGGCGUAAAGCGUGCGCAGGCGGUUUGGUAAGACAGAUGUGAAAUCCCCGGGCUCAACCUGGGAAUUGCAUUUGUGACUGCCCGGCUAGAGGGUGUCAGAGGGGGGUAGAAUUCCACGUGUAGCAGUGAAAUGCGUAGAUAUGUGGAGGAAUACCGAUGGCGAAGGCAGCCCCCUGGGAUAACACUGACGCUCAUGCACGAAAGCGUGGGGAGCAAACAGG